GUCGAGAAUAAUUCACAAUGGGGGAAACCCUGAUGGUGCAACGCCGCGUGGAGGAUGAAGGUCUUCGGAUUGUAAACUCCUGUCAUCUGGGAGUAAGACCUGACGGUGAAUAGCCGGCAGGGUUGAUAGUACCAGAAGAGGAAGGGACGGCUAACUUCGUGCCAGCAGUCGCGGUAAUACGAAGGUCCCAAGCGUUGUUCGGAAUCACUGGGCGUAAAGGGAGCGUAGGCGGCGUGGUAAGUCAGAUGUGAAAUCCCGGGGCUCAACCCCGGAACUGCAUCCGAUACUGCCAUGCUUGAGGGUUGGAGAGGUAGCUGGAAUUCUCGGUGUAGCAGUGAAAUGCGUGGAUAUCGAGAGGAACACUCGUGGCGAAGGCGAGCUACUGGACAACAUCUGACGCUGAGGCUCGAAGGCCAGGGGAGCAAAAGGGAUUAGAAACCCGGGUAGUCC
rnacentral:rRNA from 1 species